ACUCAAGAAACAAGCUGGAAAGCCAGGCAGUGGUGGCACAUUCCUUUAAUCCCAGCACUUGGAAGGCAGAGGCGGGUAGAUUUCUGAGUUCGGGGCCACCCUGGUCUACAGAGUGAGUUCCAGGACAGCCAGGGCUACACAGAGGAGAAACCCUGUCUCAAAAAACAAAACAAAAAAAACAAAAACAAAGAAAAAAAAAAAGAAGCUGGAGUAGCCAUUCUGAUAUCUAAUAAAAUAGACCUUCAGUCAAAAGUAAUGAAAAGAGACAGGGAAGGAUACUUCACACUCAUCAAAGGAAAAAUCCACCAAGAGGACAUCUCAGUUCUGAACAUCUAUACCCCAAAUGCAAGGGGAACCACAUUUGUAAAAUAAACAUUACUAAAGCAUAAAUCACAUACAGAACCCCACACGUUAAUAGUGGGACACUUUGAGAUAGAAACUAAACAGAGGAAUAAUGAAACUAACAGGGGUUGUAAAUCAAAUGGAACUAACACAUACCUAUAGAACAUUUCACCCAAACAUAAAAGAAUAUGCCUUCUUCUCAAAGCAAACCUCACAGAUUCAAGAAGUUUGAAAGAAUUUUAUGCAUCAUAUCAGAUCACCGUGGAGUAAAGCUGAACUUCAACAACAACAGAAACAAUAAAAGCCUACAAAUUCAUGGAAACUGGACAACUCUCUAUUUGUUGAUUUCUGGGUCAGAGAAGAAAUAACGAAAUUAAAGAGUUUCUAGAACUAAAUAAAAAUGAGGGCCCAAUAUACCCAAAUUUAUGGGUCACUAUGAAAGCAGUGCUAAGAGAAAAGUCCAUAGCACUAAAUGCCCUCAUAAAGAAAUUGGAGAGAUCUCAUACUAAUGAAUUAAAAGUACAUCUGAAAGCUCCAUGUAAAAAGAAACAAACACACCCAGGAAGAGUAGAUGGCAGGAAAUAAUCAAACUCAGGGCUGAAAUCAAUCAAUUAGACC
rnacentral:lncRNA from 1 species